CAGUCGCCACGGUAAUACGUAGGUGGCAAGCGUUGUCCGGAAUUAUUGGGCGUAAAGCGCGCGCAGGCGGCCUAUCCAGUCUGUCUUAAAAGUUCGGGGCUCAACCCCGUGAUGGGAUGGAAACUAGUAGGCUAGAGUAUCGGAGAGGAAAGCGGAAUUCCUAGUGUAGCGGUGAAAUGCGUAGAUAUUAGGAAGAACACCAGUGGCGAAGGCGGCUUUCUGGACGAAAACUGACGCUGAGGCGCGAAAGCUAGGGGAGCGAACGGGAUUAGAGACCCCGGUAGUCCCUGUCUCUUAUACA
rnacentral:rRNA from 1 species